UGAUUGUCCAAACGCAAUUCUUUCUGGUUAUAAAUGAAGAGAACUGUGUAUGGACGUCAGU
rnacentral:pre_miRNA from 1 species